GCAGGUGUACAUGAGCAUGCUAUAUAUGGCCUAGAACAUUCGAUGCUACUCAAUAUAACGGCAGAUAUGGUUAAGAAAAAUAAGUAUCCACGGUCCAACUAGUUGGUAUUAGAGACUGCUUUUCUUAUUAUUGAUGUAGAAUUUUGUCUCAAGAUCAAAUCAAUUGGAGUUGGACGACGAUGGUAGGUCGGUGAUGACGGUGGGACCUGUAAAAAAA
rnacentral:lncRNA from 1 species